GACGAACGCUGGCGGCGUGCUUAACACAUGCAAGUCGAACGGUAAGGCCCUUCGGGGUACACGAGUGGCGAACGGGUGAGUAACACGUGGGUGAUCUGCCCUGCACUUCGGGAUAAGCCUGGGAAACUGGGUGUAAUACCGGAUAGGACCCUGGGAUGCAUGUCCUGGGGGGGAAAGCUUUUGCGGUGUGGGAUGGGCCCGCGGCCUAUCAGCUUGUUGGUGGGGUGAUGGCCUACCAAGGCGACGACGGGUAGCCGGCCUGAGAGGGUGACCGGCCACACUGGGACUGAGAUACGGCCCAGACUCCUACGGGAGGCAGCAGUGGGGAAUAUUGCACAAUGGGCGCAAGCCUGAUGCAGCGACGCCGCGUGAGGGAUGACGGCCUUCGGGUUGUAAACCUCUUUCAGCACCGACGAAGCGCAAGUGACGGUAGGUGCAGAAGAAGGACCGGCCAACUACGUGCCAGCAGCCGCCGUAA
rnacentral:rRNA from 1 species